CAUGCUGUAAACGUUGGGCACUAGGUGUGGGGAUCGUUGUGGUUUCUGCGCCGUAGCUAACGCAUUAAGUGUCCCGCCUGGGGAGUACGGCCGCAAGGCUAAAACUCAAAGGAAUCGACGGGGACCCGCACAAGCGGCGGAGCAUGCGGAUUAAUUCGAUGCAACGCGAAGAACCUUACCAAGGCUUGACAUGCACCGGUACAGUGUAGAGAUAUGCUGGCCUUUUUGGCUGGUGUGCAGGUGG
rnacentral:rRNA from 1 species